GUCGAACGAAGUAGCAAUACUUAGUGGCAGACGGGUGAGUAACAUGUAGGUAUCUUCCCUAUGGUGAGGAAUAACACGAGGAAACUUGUGCUAAUACCUCAUAAGUCUUUACGGAGAAAGCUUUAUGCGCCAUUGGAUGAGCCUGCACUUGAUUAGUUUGUUGGUGGGGUAAUGGCCUACCAAGACUAUGAUCAAUAGCUGAUUUGAGAGGAUGAUCAGCCACAUUGGGACUGAGACACGGCCCAAACUCCUACGGGAGGCAGCAGUAGGGAAUCUUGCACAAUGGGGGAAACCCUGAUGCAGCGAUGCCGCGUGAGUGAAGAAGGCCUUUGGGUUGUAAAGCUCUUUCGUCGGGGAAGAAAAUGACUGUACCCGAAUAAGAAGGUCCGGCUAACUUCGUGCCAGCAGCCGCGGUAAUACGAAGGGACCUAGCGUAGUUCGGAAUUACUGGGCUUAAAGAGUUCGUAGGUGGUUAAAAAAGUUGGUGGUGAAAUCCCAGAGCUUAACUCUGGAACUGCCAUCAAAACUUUUUAGCUAGAGUAUGAUAGAGGAAAGCAGAAUUUCUAGUGUAGAGGUGAAAUUCGUAGAUAUUAGAAAGAAUACCAAUUGCGAAGGCAGCUUUCUGGAUUAUUACUGACGCUGAGGGACGAAAGCAUGGGUAGCGAAGAGGAUUAGAUACCCUCGUAGUCCGUGCCGUAAACGAUGUGUGUUAGACGUUGGAAAUUUAUUUUCAGUGUCGCAGCGAAAGCAAUAAACACACCGCCUGGGGAGUACGACCGCGAGGUUAAAACUCAAAUGAAUUGACGGGGACCCGCACAAGUAGUGGAGCAUGUGGUUUAAUUCGAAGAUACGCGCAGAACCUUACCAACACUUGACAUGUUCGUCGCGACUUUAAGAGA
rnacentral:rRNA from 1 species